GACGAACGCUGGCGGCGUGCUUAACACAUGCAAGUCGAACGGAAAGGCCCUGCUUUUGUGGGGUGCUCGAGUGGCGAACGGGUGAGUAACACGUGAGUAACCUGCCCUUGACUUUGGGAUAACUUCAGGAAACUGGGGCUAAUACCGGAUAGGAGCUCCUGCUGCAUGGUGGGGGUUGGAAAGUUUCGGCGGUUGGGGAUGGACUCGCGGCUUAUCAGCUUGUUGGUGGGGUAGUGGCUUACCAAGGCUUUGACGGGUAGCCGGCCUGAGAGGGUGACCGGCCACAUUGGGACUGAGAUACGGCCCAGACUCCUACGGGAGGCAGCAGUGGGGAAUAUUGCACAAUGGGCGGAAGCCUGAUGCAGCAACGCCGCGUGCGGGAUGACGGCCUUCGGGUUGUAAACCGCUUUCGCCUGUGACGAAGCGUGAGUGACGGUAAUGGGUAAAGAAGCCCCGGCUAACUACGU
rnacentral:rRNA from 1 species